GAGAGUGCUAAUUAAAUCAGCAUGCGUCAAGAUUCUUUGUAUAGAUGGUGUGUUCGGCUUCUUUAGUCGGACUUGGAGUUGAAAAAAAAAAUUAUUAGUGUAUAAUAAUUGAUUACUUAAAACAUUUCUAAAGUACAACUCUAAUUUUUUUAAUAGAGUAAUUUUGCAAUGAAGAUUGAUUUAUUUUAACUCUUAUCAAUUCUGGAAUGAAAAUAGAGUAGUGAACAAAAAAUAGAAAAACUCUAAACUUUAUUUUUGAAUAAAAUAUGGAAUGGGUGUCAGAGAUGGUCUUACGCCUUGUUAGCAAAUACAGUAGAGCCUCUAUAAAUUAAUAAUCUCUAUAUCACGGUUUCAAUUUGGACCGACUCAAAAUUUGACACAAAUUGAUAAAACAAUAAGAUAAUAUUUUUUUA
rnacentral:lncRNA from 1 species